CGAGUCUUUGCAGUAAUGCAAGGCAUACGGCUCAGUAACACGUAGUCAACUUACCCUAUGGACGAGGAUAAUCUCGGGAAACUGAGCAUAAUACUCGAUAGAUCAUAAUGCCUGGAAUGGUUUAUGGUUGAAAUGAUUCGUCGCCAUAGGAUGGGACUGCGGCCUAUCAGCUUGUUGGUGAGGUAAUGGCCCACCAAGGCGAUUACAGGUACGGGCUCUGAGAGGAGAAGCCCGGAGAUGGGUAUUGAGACAAGGACCCAGGCCCUAUGGGGCGCAGCAGGCGAGAAAACUUUGCAAUGUGCGAAAGCACGACAAGGUUAAUCCGAGUGAUUUCUGCUAAAGAAAUCUUUUGCAAGUCAUAAAACCACUAGUGAAUAAGGGGUGGGCAAGUUCUGGUGUCAGCCGCCGCGGUAAAACCAGCACCUCAAGUGGUCAGGAGGAUUAUUGGGCCUAAAGCCUCCGUAGCCGGCUCUGUAAGUUUUCGGUUAAAUCC
rnacentral:rRNA from 1 species